rnacentral:lncRNA from 1 species
UAUUAAGGUAAUAUAUACGAACUAAAGUUAUUUGUAUAUAUAUUCUAUUGUACAAGUAUUGUUUGAAGGAGUAAUAAUGCAGCCCAUUUUGUAAGGCCCAAAAACAUUUGGUUUGAAGAUUAGAAGAACGUGGAAACGGCUAAACUUUUGGCCGGAAAUGGCAAUUUGUGCUUCUGGUCCGUCCGGCAAAAUAGAUAAAACACUACCGGAGAUCAAUUUCCGAACAGCCGUUGUUCCUCCGGCCAACCUCCGCUCGUACUUGAGUUAUAAAAUUUAAAGGAUCAGGAAACUGUGUUCUGAUUGGCACUCCAGAUGUGAUUUUAUGCUCCUUGUCAGUCUUGAGUAUCUCUUCGAGUCGGAAUUGAUACUCUGACAUGCGUGGAUAUUGAAAAUUAUUCAUGGCUCCAGUGUCUACUCCAAGCCUGUAGCUUUCUGUCAUGGAGCUGAAAAAAGUUGCUAAGGAGAUGUUGGACCACUGGGUAUGUUUAGCCAGAACUGGCUCUAUAAAAUAUUUUUUAGCUAAUAUUCAGUUCUCCUAGUUCUUUAUUUCCAAAGAAGGUCUCCGUAUAGUUUCAGGAAAAGAAGGUUUUCGUAUAACAGUCCUUGUUUUUGGUUUUGAUAUCCUUGACCUUUGACCAUCUUGCGGAUCAUAAAUACUAAUAGAACAUCGAAGAGCACUCUGUGGGAAUACAUCAUCAUUUAUCGGUGAUGGAAAAAGGGAUCUUGUUGCACUUGGACUUUACUUGUAGGUUUCUUUCUAGGUUUUAGUAAACUGCACGUAAUAUUUCUUAUUGUCAAGUAUUUUAGAAUGGAAAUGGCUGAAAGUUGGGAUCUCUUAUAGACCAACUAUUAUUUAGACCAACUAGUGGGAUAACCUAUGAUCUACCCGUGUUCCAUGGUGGUUAUCAGAAGCCAUUGGCUAAUGAUGUUUGUACUCGUAUGUUUGUUCUCUUACCUUUUCUCACUAUUCCCCAUCACUUCCAAUUUGGAGACAGAACACUGAAAAGAUAAGAGCCUCCCACAUUCUUCCCUUGUUGCAACCAAGUCAUUGUGAAUUAUCUUGAAAGAGCUUAAUUUUAUGUUGAGAUGUUUUUUCCGGCUUAUCCAUCAACUUUGAUUCACUCCGGGGAAGUACAUGCAGAAAAAUUGGUAAAACUCUGUACUUCUGAACCGAUUUUGCUCUUCUGAUAGACAAACAGAUCUUAUUGUCCUCACCUGCAAAUUGCUACAGUACCUUGUGUGAGGUCAUUGCCUGUUUCAAGAAUAGAGAUGCUUGAUUAGACCCUGAAAGUGAAAACACUGGCAUCAUUACAUGUGCACUUGUAUUGUUCAAUGAGUUGUUGGAGGAUUUCUCUUAAGAAGACUCUUUAUCUAGGCAAAGUUAUCGUUAUGUUUCCUGUUCAUCAGCUGGGCAUUAUACACAUGAAACCAACCCCGAUUUUUCUGUAGCACUAGGUUCAAAAACGCCUAUCUACCUUUCUCUGCUUACUCUGUGACUAGGUUCAAACACUUGACUUGUGUUUCUGGGGAAAAGGACACAAGGCAACUAUCUAUGAUUUACUGUAAAGAUUUAAGGAAGGACAAGGGAGCAAAAGAAGGGAACAGCUUCAUCAGAAAAGAAGUGAACAGUCAUUGUUUAGUUGAAGGACUUGUAAUGCUAGUGUUGUUGUACUGUAAAAAAAAAAUGUGAAGACGCAGACUUCAGUAGGAUAUACGAUUAUAC